rnacentral:RNase_P_RNA from 1 species
CCCGGGGCGUGGACGAUCGAUCCGUUUCGACGGGUAGGAAAGUCCGGGCUCCUGAGGGCAGGGUGGUUCCUAACGGGAACGCACUUCUUGUAAGAGAGGUGACGGAAAGUGGUACAGAGAUUCAAACCGCCGAUGGCCUGGGUUUCGGCCCGGGAUCAGGUAAGGGUGAAAAGGUGCGGUAAGAGCGCACCGGGCCAAUCGUGAGAAAGGCCGCAUGCUAAACCCCACCCGGAGAAAGACCGAAUAGAUGCGGGGUGCGGAUCUCCGCCGGGGCCGGCCCGGUCGAAGUCCGCCUAACGGCGGAGCCCCGCCGGGUAGGUCGUUCGAGCCGGUCGGUGACGGCCGGCCUAGAUAAAUGAUCGUCACCCGGAAACGGGAACAGAACCCGGCUUACGCGUCCCGGGCAAG